UACGAAGGGGGCUAGCGUUGUCCGGAAUCAUUGGGCGUAAAGCGCGCGUAGGCGGCCCGGUAAGUCCGCUGUGAAAGUCCAGGGCUCAACCCUGGAAAGCCGGUGGAUACUGCCGGGCUAGAGUCCGGAAGAGGCGAGUGGAAUUCCUGGUGUAGCGGUGGAAUGCGCAGAUAUCAGGAGGAACACCAAUAGCGAAGGCAGCUCGCUGGGACGGUACUGACGCUGAGGUGCGAAAGCGUGGGGAGCGAACAGG
rnacentral:rRNA from 1 species